CUGGAUAACUUGCUGCAGCUUCUGCAUCAGCACUUUUGACUCACCUUGCACUUGGAUGUUGGGGAGGACAGCCUCUUUCCUUAAACCCCAGGAGCCGGCCUCUGCCGCAGCCUCCUUGCCUCUCUCAGCCUCCACAGGAUUGAGCAGGGCUGGGCCUCGCUCCGGGGCAGGCUUUUGCGUCAGGGGAUGUUGUGGCUGGUUUGCCUUUCCAUGCAGACCUCUGAAACUUCCUCCACAUCAGCGCCAAAGCUGUUGCACUUUGUUAUCACGUGUGUGUUUAGUAGCCUGGCACUUCUCAUUCCCUCCAAGAACUUUUCCGUUGCGUUCACAACUCAGCUAACUGGAGCAAGAGGCCUAGCUUGGCUUUUGACUUGCCAGCUUCACUAAGCUUGAUCUGUUCUAGCUUUUGAUUUAAAGUGAGAAACGUAUGACUCUUCCUUGCACUUGAACAUUUAGAGGCCACGUAGUGUUACGCGUUGGCCUAAUUCCAAUAUUGCCGUGUUCCAGGGAGGAGGGAAGCAUGAGCGGGGAGAGGCAGGGAGUGGCUGGCUGGCGGAGCAGUCAGAACAGACACAGCGAUACGUAACAUAUAAACUCUUCCUGCCUUAUGGUCGUUUUCCAUGUAUGCCUUCCACAAGGGCUGGGAUGAGUAUGGAGCCAGUGAGACAUCUAGCGCCCCCCAGGGGACACUCUCAGAGUAAUGAAAGCGUCCCUCGCCUCAGCCUCGUCAUCACCCUGCCUCCUGUUAGUGAUGCGGACGGAGUCAGCGGAACCCUGAUAAGUUGAUCAUCCGACGAAGGGUGGGAGCAUUCACGUUGCUGUUUUAGGUGAUUUGGAAACCAUCCAAAUCAUUACUGUGCAAGUGAAGCUCCUUCAGAAUCAAUGUCAAAAGACAUUAAGACUUUCAGGGGAAGUAAGGGACAAGGACACUUCCUGCGCACCUCACAUCCAAAAGGCACUGUACUGGAUGCUGACACGUAGUAACUAUUUGAUCUUUAUGGCCAUGUAAGAAAAUCCUUCCCUUUGUGAAUGAUAGAGGCUUUUAGUAAAAUUAACCGUGAGUCAAAAGACACUGUUAUAUUUGACUUGCUUAACUCUUGCCUAUGAAACAAAAAUCGCGCCCCCAGUAGAACUGUUGGGCAGACAUGAGAACUGACCAGUGUCUUAGACACAUGAGACAGAGAGAGAGAGAGAGAGAGAGAGAGAGAGCGAGAGCGCUGGCGAUUCUCAGGAGGAGUGGAGUUCCCACCCCAAGAACUUAAGCAGCUGACUUGGGCUGAAGCAGGGCGCGGCACGGGAAUAGCAUUCACAUGAAGGGUGAGCAGCAGGGAAUCUGAAAUAAACGACCAGGACUCACCAAUACGGAAAAAGUGCCGGGAAAGGGAGACCCUGUACCCAACCUACAAGCUAAGCUUUAACGCCAUGGGGAAAAGGUAGGAGAUCAAACAAGACUUUAGAAUGUCUGUGAAUAAUAAACAAACGUUCUAAGGGGGUUACAUCUAUUAAAAAUGUGUAUCCGAAGUGAGAAGAAAGGUAUUUGACCACACAAGAAGAGAUUUUAAUUUUUAAAAUAAUGACAUAGCAACCAGUAUACCGUUUACAUAGUAGUUAACAUCAGGAUCUCUGAAAAUUCAAGAAUUUAAGAAGAAAAUCUGACUGACAGAUUCCUUUCUUACAUGAAACUUUUCAGAGCUUAGGAAGACACACAAAAAUAGCAUCGUGUGUUAUUGUACUGAGACGUGGCUCACUGCAGACGAAAGAGGCGGACGGGAAGGAGGUGGGGGCUGGGGUGGGUCGCUCUGUUUGGGUUGUGUUUUUCCUUCAAAAAGAUAUUUGAAGACUAUUUUGGCAAAUGUUAACAUUUUCUAAAUCUGUGUCCUGAGACAUGGAGUUUUUUAUAUGUUUUUCUGUAUGACAAAUAUAUAACCAAAAUGAAAAUAAAGCAAUAUAGUGGAAUACCUCUAAACCAGUUUCUCAGCUAUUUUUUUAUUAUUGUCCCUCCCAAAGGAGCAUUUUUAGACUUUUUAAAUCAACCUCUACAAAAUUUUACAAUUGCUUUAUACUGUAUGUCUGUUUUUAAGCUGUAUGCGUCUGUCUUGUGGAUAAAUGAGGGAGGUUUUUCCUCCUCUAACCCAGGAACUAAACAGCCACCAGUCAUUUGGAAGACACAUAAUCCUGUACCAUUAAACAUGAACAAAUCAUACAAAGUGUGACCUUUGACAUUGGCUGAAUUAAACUACAUGUCAGUAACAGAAAACUUAGAAAAACCUUUCAAAUUCCUGGAUAUUAAAUAACAUUUUAAAAUAACGUAUACAGAAAAACAGGAUUCUUAAGGGAAUUUAGAAAAUAAUUGAAUUUGAAUGAAAGUGGAAAUAUAAAAAUAUGUGGCAUACAGCUAUAGGAGUGUUUAAAGAGAAUUUACUAAAUUAGAAGAGAAUAAAAGCCACAGAUUGGUGAUUUACAUUCUACCUUAAGGAAGUAGAGAAAGAAGAACACAUUAAAUCCAGAACAAGCAGGAAAAGGAAAUAAUAGAAAUAAGUACAAACCAAUAAGUUGUAAACAGAAAACCAAAAAUGUCAUGGUAAAAAAAAACUAGUUCCUAAAAGAUCAGUAAAAGAGGAAAUUCUAGUCAGAUUGCAAAGAAAAAUAAAGACCCCUAAAAUUGUAAGAAUAUAAUAAUGGAAUAUUUGGGACAAAUUUGUUUUCAUAAAUUUGACAACUUUGAUGAAAUGGACCAAUUUCUUGAAAGUGACAAACUACCAAAGCUUAUUUGAGAAGUAGGUGACAAACAGUCCUGUAUCUAUUUAUAAAUUUACUUAGUAAUUAAAAUUUUUUCUGCAAAGAAAGCUUAUGGCUAGGUAGUUUCACGGAUGAAUUCUACCAAAUGUUAAAUGUAAAACCAGCUUUUUCAUGGAAGAGAACACUUCCAAAUUAAUUUUAUGUAUUACCUGUAUUACCUUGAUACUAAAACCAGACAAAGUACAAGAAAACUAUGUAUCACUGGUUUCUCAUGAGUAUAGAUGCAAAAAUCCUCAACAAAAUACUAAAUUGAUCAAGCAGUGUAUGAAAAGGGAUUAUACAUCAUGGUCAAACGAAGUUUAUCUUGGGGAGUGCAGAUCAGCUCAUAGUCUGAAAGUCACCUGAAAUCCAUCAUGUCAACACAGCAAAGAAGAUAAAGCAUAAAUGAAGGAAAAGUAUUUGACAAAAUUAAAUUCAUAAAAACUCAGGAAACUGGGAGCAGAAAAGAGUUUCCUUAGUCUCGUAGAGAAUGCCCACCAAACCUUGAGCUGUCCUAAGACUUAAGAGUUAAAGGCUGAACUUCGUCCUCCUGAGGCUGAACAAGAGGCAAAAGAGCACGUUCACCGUGCCUUUCCACACCCCUGCAUAAAACAAAAGAAGAGCCACGCAAAUUGGAAAUGAAGAAUAAAAUCAUCCCUAUUCAGAGAGGACAUGUAGAAAAUCCAAGGAAUUAAAAGUUUCCUCCAACCAACAGAAGAUGCUACUAAGAAAAUGACAAGGCAAGCCACAGACUUGGAAAAAUCUUUGCAAAGCAUAAUUUGACAAAGAAUGUAUCCAGAAUAUAUGAAGAACUUUCGAAAGUUCUUCAAAAAAACAAAACAAAACAAAAAACACCUCCCUCAGAAAAUGAACAAUGAAUUUGAAGACACUUCAUCAAAGAUUUACAAAUGGCAGAUAAGCUCAAGAAAAGGUGCACAACAUUAGCCAUUAGACAAAUGCAAAAUACAGCCACAGUAAGAUAGCACUACACACCUAUUAGAACAGUUUAAAAUAAAUUCUGAUGGUACCAAGACUUGGCAAGAAUGCGGAGCCACUGCAGCUCUCACAUCUUGCUCACAGAAGUAGAAAUUUGUACUUCUGCUUUGUAGAACAGUUUGGGGGAUUUUGUUAUAAAGUUAAACAUACACUUAUGCGUGACCUAGCCAAUGCCUGUCUAAGUAUUCACCCAAGAGGAACAAAAAACUGCCCACACGAAAAAAACUGUACCUGAGGAUUCUAGGAACAAGGUGGAGUGGGAAGCCCCAGGAAUUCACCUGCCGAACUGGGCAGCGAUCGCACCGUUGGAAGCUGCCCGCAGCGUCGUUUAAUUCGCGCCUGAUGGAGGCUCACGGAUUCCAGGGGAAGGCUUGGGCGGGAAGCUGUAGUUAAGUGCCUUUCCUUACAGUGAAGAUCUUAAAUCAAUAACCUACUUUGCAACUUAAGGAACUAGAAGAACAAAAUAAGCCCAAUGUUAGCAGAAGAAAGGAGAUGAAGGUUAGAAGUAAAUGAAGUAGAGAAUAGGAAAUAAUAGAGAAAAUCAAUGAACCCAAAAGAUGGCCAUUUGAAAGAAACAAGAACAAUGACACUCCUUUAGCUAAAUAGACAAAAAGGCUCAUGUUACUAAAAUCAGAAAUGAAGGUGGGACACGGCCGCAUAUUCUACAGACAUAAAAAUGAAAGCACAAUGAAGAAUUCUACACCAAGAAAUUAAAUAACUAGAUGAAAUGGACAAAUGCAUAGAGAUACAUAAAACUACUAACACGAAAUUGCAAAGCAAUAAGAAUUCUGGAUAAACCUACACCUAGUAAGGAGAUGGUAUCAGUAACCAAAAAUCUAACAACAAAGAGAAGUCCUGGACCUGAAGGCUUUACUAUGGAAGUCUAGCAAACAGUUAAGGAUGAAAUAAUACCAAUCCUUAAAUUUUUUCCAAAAAUUGAAGUGGAGAGAGCCCUUCCUGACUCAUGCUACGAGACUAACAUUACCCCAACAUCAAAGCCGGGCAAACACUACGGACCAAUAUCUCUUAUUAUUGAUGCAAAAAUCCUUGUCAAAGUACUGGCAAACUGAAUUCAGUAGCAUAUUUUGAAAGGUUUAUACAUCGUGUUCAAGUGGGAUCAGUUUCUGGGAUGCAAGGAUGGUUUAAUGUAUGAAGGUAUAUCAAUGUAACACCGCUUUAAAAGAAGGAAGGACAAAACAGGAUCAUCUCAAUUGAUAGAGAAAAUCAUUUGGCAACAUGCAGCACCCUUUCAUGAUGAAAACAUUCAACAAACUAGGAAUAUAAGGAAACUACUUAAACAUAAUAAAAGCCGUAUAUGAAAAA